UACGAAGGGGGCUAGCGUUGCUCGGAAUCACUGGGCGUAAAGCGCACGUAGGCGGCUUGUUAAGUCAGGGGUGAAAUCCUGGAGCUCAACUGCAGAACUGCCUUUGAUACUGGCGAGCUUGAGUUCGGGAGAGGUGAGUGGAACUGCGAGUGUAGAGGUGAAAUUCGUAGAUAUUCGCAAGAACACCAGUGGCGAAGGCGGCUCACUGGCCCGAUACUGACGCUGAGGUGCGAAAGCGUGGGGAGCAAACAGG
rnacentral:rRNA from 1 species